ensembl:lncRNA
CCUGGUGAUUGAUAUGCAUGUGUGCGUAUGGGUGUUUGUUUGGUGGAUGACGUAUCACUAUGAUUUCAAGGCCAGAUGACUUUCUUUGAAGAGGACAAACGAGAGUUCGAAUGAGUGCAUGUGUGUGAGGUGAACUGGAUUGAUCAGGUCAUUGUAUGAAGGCCAACUUGAUAAAAAUGCAGGAAUACAAAGAUAGUCGUAAGUCUUGGCUCUGCAUGAUAUGCACUCUGUUCCAUUCCAGGGAAUUCCUUCUGAGAAGUUGGAUUUCUCUGUAUUCACCAUGUGGCACACAGACAGAACCCUCUCAUAGAGAGAGAAGCUCCUGUCCAAACACAAUCCUGUUACCGCAGCUCAUCUGGACAAAUGUUUGUCUGCAACCCUCUUGGAUGUCAUUUCUCUUAGCACUGUUGAGAUAA